rnacentral:ncRNA from 1 species
UCCACCGCGAGGUGGAAUCUGAAGGAAGCCGCAGGCAAAAUCCUGGCCCGACGAACAGAAAUCACAUACGAGGCAGUCCCAUCCGGGCGAGAAGGCAAGCAUCUUCGAAGCCCAAUAGUCAUCCGGGAUGGUGGGGCUGUAGAUGUGGCGGGUAUAUGGGAGGAAGGUCACGCGC